rnacentral:rRNA from 1 species
AUUGAACGCUGGCGGCAUGCCUUACACAUGCGAGUCGAACGGUAACAGGUCUUCGGAUGCUGACGAGUGGCGCACGGGUGAGUAAUACAUCGGAACGUGCCCAGACGUGGGGGAUAACGAGGCGAAAGCUUUGCUAAUACCGCAUACGAUCUAAGGAUGAAAGCAGGGGACCGCAAGGCCUUGUGCGUUUGGAGCGGCCGAUGGCAGAUUAGGUAGUUGGUGGGAUAAAAGCUUACCAAGCCGACGAUCUGUAGCUGGUCUGAGAGGACGACCAGCCACACUGGGACUGAGACACGGCCCAGACUCCUACGGGAGGCAGCAGUGGGGAAUUUUGGACAAUGGGCGAAAGCCUGAUCCAGCAAUGCCGCGUGCAGGAUGAAGGCCUUCGGGUUGUAAACUGCUUUUGUACGGAACGAAAAGGCUCUGGCUAAUACCUGGGGCACAUGACGGUACCGUAAGAAUAAGCACCGGCUAACUACGUG